GAAAGUCCAGUAAAAAUUGAAAGACGUACGGGCGGCGAAAAAGUUAUCAUCGAUUGUUACAGAUAUGCAAAUACUAUUGAGUUUACAUUUAACAUUCGAUGCCCACCUGAGAGAGCAGGAGUAAUGGUCCAAUUUACCCCGAGGUUUUAUGGUGAUUUUAGUGAUGUCUAUUUUGUGUGCAGAUAUCAAGAUGGAAAGUGGUUUGGACCAUAUUGUUAUAAAAUAGGCUACGUCAGUCCUGAAACAAACCUUCAAGUAGAAUUUGUAACAAACCCAGGUUCAACUAUGUAUAAAAUAAACGGCGAUUACGAAAAGACAGUCUCCACUUAUAUCAACUGUUAUGACCGUUUGGAAUUCACAGGACCUGUCAAUGUAACUUUUAUUAGGAUGUCAUGAAAGCGUAUGCUUCAGAUACAUUUUAUUUUAUACAUUUUAGAAAUUUUAUCAUUUUUUACUAUUUUAAAAUAGGAUUUUACAUAUUAGGAAGCUUUAUUUAAUCUUUUUUUCUCUCUCUAUCUCUUUUUUUCUAUCUUUUUCUUACACAGUUGCGGACAAUUAAACAUAUAGACACACAUACACUGUAACACAAAUACCAUAAUAUGCUUACUUUGAAAUAAAAUAAAAGAUGUAAACAUUGAUACUUUUGUUUUCUCGUUGUUAUGACGACAACUCGUAUAAAAUAUCCAUAGCCAUGUAUACGUAAUUUUUAGUAAAAUACUCUUUUGAAACUUCUUGCUUUUUUAAAAGUAAU